rnacentral:rRNA from 2 species
GUGAGUAAUGUAUAGGAAUCUACCUAGUAGUACGGAAUAAUUGUUGGAAACGGCAACUAAUACCGUAUACGCCCUACGGGGGAAAAAUUUAUUGCUAUUAGAUGAGCCUAUAUUAGAUUAGUUAGUUGGUGAGGUAAAGGCUUACCAAGACAAUGAUCUAUAGCUGAUCUGAGAGGAUGAUCAGCCACACUGGAACUGAGAUACGGUCCAGACUCCUACGGGAGGCAGCAGUGGGGAAUAUUGGACAAUGGGCGAAAGCCUGAUCCAGCCAUGCCGCAUGAGUGAAGAAGGCCUUCGGGUUGUAAAGCUCUUUUAGUGAGGAAGAUAAUGACGGUACUCACAGAAGAAGUCCUGGCUAACUCCGUGCCAGCAGCCGCGGUAAUACGGAGAGGGCUAGCGUUAUUCGGAAUCAUUGGGCGUAAAGGGCGCGUAGGCGGGUUAGUAAGUUAAAAGUGAAAUCCCAAGGCUCAACCUUGGAACUGCUUUUAAAACUGCUAGCCUAGAGAUUGAAAGAGGAUAGAGGAAUUCCUAGUGUAGAGAUGAAAUUCGUAAAUAUUANGAGGAACACCAGUGGCGAANGCGUCUAUCUGGUUCAAAUCUGACGCUGANGCGCGAAGGCGUGGGGAGCAAACAGGNUUAGAUACCCU